rnacentral:rRNA from 1 species
CCUACGGGAGGCAGCAGUAGGGAAUCUUUCACAAUGGCCGAAAGCCUGAUGGAGCAACGCCGCGUGCAGGACGAAGGUGUCCGGCUUGUAAACUGCCUUUAUACGCGAGAAAUAUGAUGGUAACUUAUGAAUAAGGAUCGGCUACCUACGUGCCAGCAGCCGCGGUGAUACGUAGGAUCCGAGCAUUAUCCGGAGUGACUGGGUGUAAAGAGUUGCGUAGGUGGGAUAAUAAGUAGCUAGUGAAAUCUGGUGUCUCAACCAUUCAGGCAAUUGGCAAAACUGUUAAGCUCGAGACCGUGAGGGGUAACUGGAAUGUCUAGUGUAGGGGUGAAAUCCGUAGAUAUUAGAAAGAACACCGAUAGCGUAGGCAGGUUACUGGGGCGGUUCUGACACUAAGGCACGAAAGCGUAGGGAGCGAACGGGAUUAGAUACCCGGGUAGUC